CGUGUGCAAAUAUCUAUAUUGGAUCAGUUAAUAGACAUUUUCUGGAUCUUAGGUAAAGCAAUGAUUUUAAGACUAACAAUGACAUGCUUGAUAACUAGUUGAUUUGUUUCUAGCAUAUUAAAUCAAUUAUCAUAUGUUUUAAAUUUAGUAUUUAAUGCAAGUCAAUAAAAUCACUGACUUCAAAUUCUACUUUCGUUUUCGCAUUGCAUUUAAUGUUAAAAUAUUCAAACAUUUGGUAUGUAAAUAAAUAGCACAAAUAGAUAACAUAAACAAAACCACGAACAUGUAGCAUUGACCCAAUAAUUUCCGUUCUUCUUUUAUCUUGUUUUAAAUGAAACUUUGAAAUUGUUAACACCACCAAUAUAAUUUUGAGUACAGACAAGAAUGUCCACAAUUGUGUUGACAUUUAUAAAUACUUUGUAUAAAACACUGAUUGAACACUUUGAAUCUCUUACCGCUUUUACCUAAAACACGAAUUUCUUUCCUUCAAAAAAUUUGCAAGGUAUAGACUCAAAAAUAAAAACAAGUCAUGAAUAUAUCAUAUACUUGAGUAUUGUGAUGCUUCGCCAUGUUGAAUCGAAGGGCAAAUAAAUACAAUAGAUAGAUUCUUCAAGAUCGGCUUAUCGUUAUCAUUGACAGGCCAUUUGAAAUGCCAUGUACAUAUGAUAGUUUGGAAGAGAGAUUAAAGUGACAUAUUAAGUUUUGUAACAGGUACCAGAGUUUCAGCAUAGGUUCAAUAACAUGCCGAGAAGUUGACGGUCGCCAAAAAUGCGUUAUCGGAUAUAGCACCUUCAGUUGCAGGGUAUUUAUAAAUACUCUAGUAAACACUGCACAGCCGAGCGGGUUUUCCUCAUAAGCAAGGAUGUAAGAACUACUUGAACGAAAGAAGAUCAAAGUAGUCAUGGGAUGAGCAUAUUUCUAUAGUACCUAGUCAAAGGCUUUUAAUAUGAAAUGUUGUGAUUUUGUAUUUAACCGCGAUAUUAUACUCAUCAGGAAGUACGUACUGGUCACUUGUGUUAAAACCUAUACUGGAUCAGGUGAUAGACAUUUUCAGGAUUUCAGGCAAAGCAAUGUUUGGAACAAAUACAAUGACAUGCCUGAUAAGUAGUUGAUUUGCUUCUAUCAAAUAGAAUCUACAUGUGUUAUAAUCAGUUUUAAAUUCAUAUUUAUUGCAAGUCAAUAAAAUUAAUGACUUUAAAUUCUAGUUUCGUUUUUCAUGCUUUUGCUUCGCGUAUAAGGUUAAAAUAUCCAAACAUUGGGUAUGUGAAUAAAUAGCAUAAAUAAACAACAACAAAAAACCACGACGUGCAGCAUUGACAAAAUCCCUCUUUUUUUUUUUUUUUUUUUAUCUUAUUCUAAAUGAAAAUUCGAAAUUGUUAACACCACCAAUGUUAUUUUGAUACAGACAAGUCUGUCCACCUGGAAAAUGUUCAGAUCUUAAGAGCUGCAUUUGCAAUCAUUGACAAUUAUAAAUACAUUGUAUAACACUAAUUGAACACUAUGUAUCACCUACCGCUUUUAAUAAAAAUACGAAUUUCUUUCCUUCAAAAAAUAUACAAGGUAAAGGCUAAAAAAUAAAAAUAAAACAUGUCAUGAAUAUAUUAUAUACUAGUACUUGAUAUUGCAGUCCUGAACCAUGUUAAAGUGAGGGGCAAUUAAAUACAAUAAAUAGGUUCUUUAAGAUUAUCUCAUCGCUAUCAAGGGCAGGACAUUUGAAAUUCCACAACUAGGAACUUGAUAAUUUGCAAGAUGUAUUGAAGUGACAGAUUUAGUGUUGUAACAGGCCAUCUAUAGUUCCUUCAGAGAGUUUUUGCAAUAUAACGUGCCGAGAGCUUAAAAUUCGCCUAACACGAGUCUUUAGAUUAAGCGCCCUUAUUCAGACCUGAAGUUGUCAGUCGACCAAAAUUUGUUUUUUUAAACACUAUUUUUAACACUGCACAGCAAAGUGAGCUUACCACAUUAGUAAGGAUGUUAUAAAUUGAACAGGAGAAGUCAUUAGAUGAGCAUAUUUCUAUACCUUGUUUAAUCUUUUUAAAACCCAGUUGUAUGUGAAAUAUCAACAAUACAGAUUCAUCUUGUCAAAAUUUCUUACGUUUUCAUGACAAAAUGUUUCAGGAGGAACGACCGUUGCAGAAAUUAAAGGCGAUCUUCGAUGACGAUAAAAUAAAGCCUGCCAAAAGAAUUUUCUAGUCAGAAGUAUUACCCAUCAAGUUUGAAACUAACAGAAAAUAUCAGUGAAACGGAAAAAAAAUCGGUUUGCUCGAACAUUUUGUGACAAGCUUGCAUAUGCUCAUGUGACUUCAUAGAACCUUAAUUUGUAUUUACUCAAAAAAGUUAAUCGGUCCUGUUAUGAAAUACAAUUGAUAUGUAUAUCCAGCGUAGGUUCAAUGUUAAUAAGAAUGGGAUUUGUCUUCCCUAUAAAAUACUUUUUAAAAAAGCAAUUUUAUAGUUUUUACUUCCUUUUUUGUAGCAUGUCGAGUAAAGUAACUGAAUGUGGAGUAUGCAACUACCGCAAAAUCAGCAAACCAUCUGUGGUCUGGUGUUCAGAGUGCGACGAAGGACUUUGUGAGGAGUGUAAAGAGCAUCAUACAGCUUCAAAGGCGACUAGAAGCCAUAGUAUUGUUUUACAAUCUGAUUACCAGAAUUUACCUUCUGAUAUAUUGAAAUUCACGAAAACAUGUUUAGAACACGAUGAAAAAUACGUUAUAUUCUGUAAGAAGCAUGAUAGUCCGUGUUGUAGUCGAUGUGUUGUUGAAACCCAUAACGACUGCAAAGAUUUAAAUGCGAUAGAUGACGUCAUUAAGAAUGUAAAAUCUUCAAGUGCAUUCUUAGAGAUGGAACAAAUGUUGACAGAACUUUCAGAAAACUUACAGAAAAUAAGAAAAGAUAGACAGCUAAACAUUGAAAGUCUUAAGGAAAACAGAACAAAAAUAGAAAAAGAAUUUCAGCAGACACGAAGCUUGAUUGACAAACAUCUGGAUAAGUUGCAGGAAAGUCUGAUAAAAGAGUUGUAUGACACUGAGGAAAAGGAAAGCACAAAAAUUAAAAACAUAAUAUCAUCCAUUCAAGAAAAUGAAAGAAAGAUUACCGAAUGCAAAUCUACUUUAGAUAGAAUUAAACUACAUGCAUCAGACCUUCAGACGUUUCUGGCAAUGAAACACAUCCAGCAUGAUGUCAGGAACAACGAACACUUUUUGGAAUCCUUGAUAAAAGAAAAGAAAAUGAAUAAUGUUUCCAUUACCUGGAAAAACGAAACUGCCUUAGAGAUUAUACCUGUCCAAAUCAAGAAAAUGGGAACCAUAAUACUAGAUACCAGGUCAGGGAAUGCAACAUUAACAAACAGGAAGAACACACAAGCACAGAUAAUGAUGCCUAUUACACAUGUUACUUCCAUUGAUGAUAUCAAACUUACUUUAAUACAGACCGUGAAAACAAUUGGUGGUGAUAUCAAAAGUUGUUGCUUAUUACCUGAUGGAAGAAUGAUUUUUUCCUGCUAUCUAAGUAACAAAACUCACGUGUUCAAAACCAGCGGUACUUUCGAUUUUACACUUGAGACAGGAUCCCUAACAUCUCAUAUCCACUUAAUCGGACAAAGUCAAAAACUUGUCGUAACAACUGGGAAUUACAACCAAUGCAUUAUGAUUAUCAACAUGAAAAACAGAAAAACUGAGAAAUCUAUUGAUGUUGGAUCAGAGAUUUAUGGAAUAGUUCAUAAAGAUGGACAAUUGUUUUAUAAUGGAUAUCAUGACGGAUUGUGUGUUGUGAGUCUAGAUGGCUUUGUAAAAUUUAUUAGACGAUUGGUAAAUGUUACUUUGAAACAAAAUAGCAGCAUUGCAAUAUGUUCAAAUCAACUUUAUUUUAUAGGCGAAGAUGAUUCAAUAUCAUGCUGUGAUCUUCAAGGUGAUGUUAAAUGGAAAUUAGAGCAGAAAACAUUUCUUUCGAACGCACGAGGCAUAACAGUGGACAAUUACGGACAUGUCUACGUAUCAGGAUUUUGGUCUCACAAUGUAGUCGUAAUUUCACCAGAUGGUAACAAACAUCGAUUACUGCUGUCAGAGAAAGAUGGUCUCCAAAGUCCACAGUCCUUGUUCUUCGAUCCAAUAAAUAACAAAUUACUUAUUACAAAUCAACAAACUAACGCAUUUGUUUAUGACGUUUCAAAAUGAUCAGCAAGACAAGCUCUACAAUUGAGACAAAUAGUAGAAAUCGUGCAGCGACUUCUGAUCUGAAUUGUUGCCCUUUCGUGACGAUUUAUACUCAUUAUUUGCGGUUUUUUUAUAUGAUAACAUCAUCUUAGAUAAAAAAAAAAAAUAAUAAAAAUUAUCAGAAAGACAAGAUCUAUUAACAAGUCAACUUUUGCUGAAAGUUAGUAGACUGUCAAUCUUAACCGAGUGCCUGUCAUUAAGUUAGGAUAUUGUUACUCUCUUUUGUAUAUUUUGAGCAGAAACCGAAGAAGAUAGAUAGAAACUAAACAGACCAAAUGAUCAGCAAUACAAGCUCAACAAAGCAGAGAUUUUUCUUAUGAAGUCUUUUCUCGUCUACAAGGAUGAAGAGUGGAUGGAUAUACAUAUAGACCAAGAUGAUCUCUUUAGGGCUUCUAUUUUUUUCAAAUCAUGAGUCAGUGAUCAAGGUUAAGUUUUCGUGAUAAGUAUCGAUUCUCAGAUACUAUAUUCAAUAUCUCAACUAUAUUUUGUGUAAAUCAAGACUACAAUGAAUACUUGUUUUUAAAUAACAGAGUUUUUCUGAUCUCGAACUCAUUUUCAGAUUUAAUCCACCAUUUUCUUCAUUAGAAAAUGCCUGUAAUAAGUCGGGAAUAUGGCAGUUGUUGUCCAUUCGUUUGAACUUUUGAUUUUGCCAUUUGAUUAGAGACUUUCCGUUUUGAAAUUUCCUCGGAGUUCAGUAUUUUGUUAUUUUUAUUUUUUCAUGUUUCACUUAUCAACACUAAGUUCGAUGUAACAGCAAAUAUACUUUACUCCAAGGAAAAUUAGAAUCUGAUCGAAAGUCGCUUAAACCCAUCAAACAAAUGGAAAACACCUGUCAAAUGUCUGACUUGACACAGGCAUUUCCUUAUGUGAAAAUGGUAAACACAGUACCUCAACAAUAUGUGGCUAUAGAAUGAUUGUAAGGUGUGAAAAUCUA
rnacentral:lncRNA from 1 species